rnacentral:lncRNA from 1 species
AUGAUGAAAUUGAUGACCAUGUUGAUGAGCAUAGUAGUCUCAAUGAGGAUUUUGGCAUGAGUGUGGAUGAAGAAGAUGACCCUGACGAUGGAAUUCAUUGUAUGGUAGAGGAGUUGUACACAGCUGAAGAGGAAGGUAAAGGGAAAGAGUCUAUGUUUGCGAUUCUAUUAGAAGAGAUGAAGCAAGAACUGCACCCUAGUGAUCCAUGCACAAGGUUUUCUUUUGUGGUGAAGUUACUUCAUAUCAAGUCAUUUUAUCGAAUUUCUAAUGUUGCAUUCACAACAUUUCUGAAGGUGUUGUCAUCAACAUUCCCAAAUUGCUCAAUUCCUGCAACAUAUGAGGAACCAAAGAGACUUAUCCCUGCAUUGGGGCUCGGAUAUAAUUCAAUCUGUGUUUGCCCGAAUAAUUAUGUUCUGUUUCGGAAAAAUUUAGAGAAAAAUGAUGUAUGUCCGGUUUUUGGUGCAUCAAGGUGAAAAGACAAUGAUGGGAGAAAGAAGAUUCCUGAGAAGGUUCUGCGACAUUUUCUAGUGAUUCCUAGGCUAAAGAGAAUGUAACACCCUAAAAUUUGCUCAUUUUAAAAUAGGUGAGAAAUGAUUUAAUUUUGAAUUUUUUGUGCUCAUGAAACAUAGGAAAAAUAAUAUUUUUCAUUAAAAUAAAAUUUAUCAUAAGAUUAGUAAUAUGGUUGUGCAUUUAUGCUGGAGAAUUUAUUUUAUUGUGCUGAGUGAUUUGACCAAAGUUCAAAUAUAUUUCAAACCUAUUUUAAAUGGUUUUGAAAAUGGCUCGAAGGAAAAGAAUUAAAAUAAAAAAAAAACACAAAACCCCUCCCCUCUCGGCCUGCCUACCUGCGAGAGUAGUCGUCAACAUGUACCAUCUCGCCAACAUAUUGUCCCGUGACAUCAGAAAACCAAGUUUAACUCUUAUUUGGAUCCUAAAACACAUCGACCCAUAAGCCUAUACAUAUAUAUAUACAGCAAGCUACCGUAUCAUCUUCUUGUUUUUCCUUCCUGCAACAGAGCAUACUCUUGCCCUUGCCCUAGAUUGUGUCUGCCGCCGCCGUAGCAGAUGUCAUUAUCGUUGUUUCAUCGGCCGUCGUCCGUGACCUGUUGCCGAGCUCUGCAUUGAGGAAAUCCCGAGCUGCCCUAUCGAGCACCAGGAUGUCCCCGUUUGCCAACACUAGGUGAGCUCUCAAUCGACUUGAUUUUCCCCUGAGCGAACCAUGGUCCCUAGGUUGCACUCGUGAGAUUCUCGCUGCCAUCCAUGGCAACCAGCCAACCACAGUGACAGAAAAUCCAGUGCUGGCCGAGCGCUUACUGUUCUAAUUAGCUUGAUGACCUCAUCAUUACAUCAUCAUGAUGUCAAAUAUGCAUUCUUGCCGUUUUCUUUCAGGAAAAUAAAUAUGGAAAUACUAUAUUAAUACACGUGUAUUUACAUUCCAGUAGCUUAACUUUGUGCCGAUGUGAUCUAUAUGUCAGGAAACGAUUGAUGUUUAUACGCCAUGUGCUUUUGUAUAUAUUUAAAAAUUAUAAAUUGAUUAAUGAUUAUGUAAACAUAUGUUUAAAUAAAAGCAAUAUAGGGCAAUGUCGAUCUCUUAUAUCCAACUGUUAACUUGAUUAAAGUCAAAUGAAAUAUGUUUUUGGUAUAAUAUUCUUAUGCCAAAAUACGGACGUAUUUUCACGUACACUUAUUUUUUUUCAAAUUAAAGUUAAAGUUUAAUAAUUUGAUCAAAGAGGGAGCUGGUGUCAUGCCUCUCUAUACGCAAUCCCAAUAUCUGCCUACGUGCAGCUUUAAUCUUGCGCAAUGUCACUGCUUUAAUUAGUUUCGAUUCUACUCGUUUUUGCUAUGUUAGAUUCACAAUAUAUAGCAGACUAUGCGUGUUAGUAUUGAUGUUUAAUAUAUUGCAUAUUUCUGAAUUUAAAUAUUAAGUUGAUUAGAGUUCAUGUACAGUUAGCUUUCUAAAUUAAUCAAAAUUAAGCAAUAUAGGGUCGUCAUGUUGGCCUUUUAUAAAUGAAUAUUAAAUUGAUUAAUAUCAAUUUAGAUAUGAUUUCAUUAUAAUUGGAUAGGUCCAAAAACAAUUAUAUAAAAACAUGUUUAGAUGCUCACUCGCAUCCUUUUCUUUUGAAAACGUUAAAUCAAAAUACGUUUCCAGUAUUUACUAAAUUUCCACUGGAUUUGUUUACCUCAUAAAAUCUUCGUUUUAACUCCGUUUUAAUUCCGAUUUUCGUGAUCUUUACGUUCGUGUGAUUUGUAGCGAUACGUAGAAUCUUUUUAUAAACUUUUCAUACUGUUUUUAUAUGAUUGGUGUAAUGUUCUAAUUGUAGUCUUGUUUGCAUCGUGUAUGUUGUCUCCGUUGUUUGUGUGUUGAUGAUCGAUGAUCGAGUUUAGUCGAUGAGCAAUUCGUGGUGAUCAAGAGUGCUCCAGUGAUCAAGAUUAGAGCCUUGGACAACUAGUAAGACCAGUGAGAUCAGCAAAAGCAUUUGGAUCAAGGCAAGUAUAGUAAUUUGGAUUUUAUAUUCUGUGACCAUGAUCCUGUGACUAGAUCAAUGUUAAGUAAUAAACGAUAAAAAUGACUUUUUAGCAACUUGAUGAUUUGUCUAUACGUGAUCACCCGGGACAACACUGCAACCAUGAGGGCUAUAAUGGCUCUGGCUUUAGCUCAGUAUGAAGACCUUUUCUAGCUUGUUAGAGGUUACCCGAAAGGGCGGAGGGGCUGAACCGUUUUGGGUAUAGUGUGGCCUCUGUCUGUAUGUGUAUAGGCUGCGAGUCAUUGUGCCAUCGGAAGGGGGGCUCUAUAUCUGCGCGCAAAGGAAACCUUGCGGCCCUAACAUGUUAGACGAACUUUUGAAAGGCUUCAUAGUGAUCCCUGCCGACCUUCCUUGGAAGUGGGUUAAGAGGCUGAUCACCUCGGGCGAAAGGGUAAAUCAUGACUCAUGGGUAAAGAUGUACAACCUCUACAGAGUGUUAAAACUAGUAUACUAGCCGAGCUCACGGUCAGGAGCGGCCUUGGGGACAUCUACAUUAAGGAUGAUGAUUCUUGUGUUAAUAUGUUCAUUAUUACUGUUUAAUGCUCUACAUUAUUUAUGUCAUAUUGAUCAUGAGAUUGUUGGAGCUAUACAAUCUAGUUGCUAUACUUGUGGAGUUCGACAUGGUCUCACUCUUGCUAUUUCCCCCACACUUCAGGAGAAAUUUAGGCUUGUGAUCAACCAGUCAGUUGGAUCCUGUAGAGAGAAGUUAAUACCCGAAGUUUGGAGUUGUUUAUCUGCUGUUGCUAUCAAAGGUUAUCUCUAUUAUACUAAGUACGCUAUAUAUUUAUGCAUUGUCUUUUGAUAUUACCCCUUAUUUGUAGCUAUAUGUGAGAUUUGACUUCUAAAACUCAUAUAUGGUGCAUAUCUGGUUUUGUCCUUAAAAUCGGGUAUUACAAAGUGGUAUCAAAGCAAUGUUGACUGUAGGACGCAAGCCUAGUUAGAAAUUGGUCGUCUUAAGGUUUUGGAAUUGUCAUAAAAUCCUUGCUCUAUAAACCUUGGUAUUUUUAUCCACACUAUAUCCCUAUCCUUGCUAUUUGUCUCUACCUUGUUGCUUAUUUUAAAAGUACUUGUUCUCAUCUUCACUCCUUGAUUGAUAUGCUUUUAGAACCUUUUCUUACCAUCUUCUUGCGUCUUUAAAAUAUAAGUUUUAGGAUCUAUAUCCCUGCCAUGAAGAGAACGAUAGUAUCGCAGGUUGAGUGAAGUGUGGACUUUCAAUGCCUAGUUGGUUUGUUAUUAUGUUUAUGCUUGAUUUGGAUCUUUGUGAUGAUUGCAAUGAUCUUGUGGAUUUCUCCACAAUAUCAUUUAGUUUAUAGGCCUAAAGCAUAAGGAGUAAUGACAUAAGUAGUUGGGUUUGGUUAUAUUCUGUUUCUGUCCUUUGCUGUUUUCCGGAGCAGUCUGCAAUAAUACUGGUGUAUCUCAAGUUCUGAUCGUGCAAAAUUUAUCAACUUUUUCUGGGAACAACUAGACUCCAAGAUCUUUCUUUUACCUCAAGAAUGACCCCCAUAUCUAUUUUGGAAUUGGAGUUAUGAAAAUCACAAGUUGAUGCAGCUGCGCUCUCAAGAAUCUGUACCAGUUUCGGUUGCUUACUGUUUUAGACAUAUAUAACUAUAGAUAGAAUUUGGAAACGUAUUCUAUAGAAAAGUUGUAGACAAUUUUCUAUUCUUUCCAACGGUAUAAUCUGGAACUUAUUUGGAUAAGUACAACCUGAGAUAUGAUAUUUACAAUUGGAUGUUUCUGUUCUGUUUCCAAAUCUGGACAGACCUGGUAAAUCCCAGUUUCAGCUAAAUUAACUUCAGAAUCUGGGAAAGAGUUGUAUACAAAAGUUGUAGAGGAUUUCAUAAGCUUUUAAACAAUAUAAGGAUCAUCGCCAGAUGAGUUAAGGAGCUCGAGAUAUAACUUCUGGAAGUUACUGCACCUUUGCUGAAAUAUUGUCAGGAUGGAUAAUAUGUUUGGUUGUUUACCUAAGCUUAAAGACAGAAUCUAUGGAGGUUUUCUACAUGAAAGUGGUAGAGAAUUUCAUAAGUUUUCCAAUGCUAUAAUCUAUAACUCUAUUGGAUUAACUGAGUAAGAGUUAUAUCUGUUUUACUACGCUGGUGUUUUCAUAUCAUGAGAAAAUUUCAGGAUACCUGUUUGCUCCAUUGCACAUAGGUUCUUUGGGAUGUCAGAAGUUCUCAAUAUUAGUUGACUUGUUUGGAAAAUAUGCAAGCUACCUUUCUUGUGCCCCUAGUUGACUUUUUCUAAGGGGGGUAGCCUAGUUGAAGGAGUUACAAUGAGAAGGAUUGGCUAGUGUUGGAUCAGAUGUAAGGGUCACAAGUGCUUGGUAAAUUGGUUUUGAUUCAAGAUAUCAUCCUCUUUAGAGAAUAUUAACGGGAAUAUAUGUCAUUGAUGAUACUCAUGGAUUGAGAGUUAUGUUAUGAGGAUCAGAUGACACCAAAGCCUACAAAGUUACAUAUACAAAGUGAGUGUGAAGCAACUUAACCGUGAUAAAGGUACCGAUAAAUGGAACUUAGUGAUGAAACUAACCUUGGAUCAAGAGACUCGGUACAACGAAUGUAAAAGACUAUGAUGUGUAGCGUCCAAAAAGGAUAGGAGAACUAGCCUUAGUGUCCCCCAAUCAAUCUCAUUUUAAGGGGGGUAGCACCUUGAUAUUACGGGAUGAGGCAUUUUAAAACUAUCUUGAAGUGAUAAUUGUCUUGUGAGAUAUUCUAUGGUUAUGAUCAUCUAUCUUUGUCGUGUUACUGACAUUGGUCACUUGAUGACAAGGAGUGUAGUGUCCCAUGGAUCAAGAGCAUAAUAUGACACCUCCCAUGGAUAUGUGGGAAGAUUAUGAUCAUCUUGCCUUGGAAGAAAGAUGCAUAAGUCAAAAAAAAAAGUUGAUAGUCAAGAUGGACUUUGAUCAAUUAUGAAUAAUAGGCAUUCUAUGGAAAAUUGGAGUUUGUCUUUGCUAUGCAAGUUGUAAAGUGGAAGGAGUUAUCAAGAUCUUUAUUCUGUUAUCUCUCGGAGGAUCCGUGUCUCUUUCGAAUCUCAAGGACGAGAUUCAUUUUAAGGGGGUAGAUUUGUAACACCCUAAAAUUUGCUCAUUUUAAAAUAGGUGAGAAAUGAUUUAAUUUUGAAUUUUUUGUGCUCAUGAAACAUAGGAAAAAUAAUAUUUUUCAUUAAAAUAAAAUUUAUCAUAAGAUUAGUAAUAUGGUUGUGCAUUCAUGCUGGAGAAUUUAUUUUAUUGUGCUGAGUGAUUUGACCAAAGUUCAAAUAUAUUUCAAACCUAUUUUAAAUGGUUUUGAAAAUGGCUCGAAGGAAAAGAAUUAAAAUAAAAAAAACACAAAACCCCUCCCCUCUCGGCCUGCCUACCUGCGAGAGUAGUCCUCAACAUGUACCAUCUCGCCAACAUAUUGUCCCGUGACAUCAGGAAACCAAGUUUAACUCUUAUUUGGAUCCUAAAACACAUCGGCCCAUAAGCCUAUACAUAUAUAUAUAUACAGCAAGCUACCGUAUCAUCUUCUUGUUUUUCCUUCCUGCAACAGAGCAUACUCUUGCCCUUGCCCUAGAUUGUGUCUGCCGCCGCCGUAGCAGAUGUCAUUAUCGUUGUUUCAUCGGCCGUCGUCCGUGACCUGUUGCCGAGCUCUGCAUUGAGGAAAUCCCGAGCUGCCCUAUCGAGCACCAGGAUGUCCCCGUUUGCCAACACUAGGUGAGCUCUCAAUCGACUUGAUUUUCCCCUGAGCGAACCAUGGUCCCUAGGUUGCACUCGUGAGAUUCUCGCUGCCAUCCAUGGCAACCAGCC